rnacentral:SRP_RNA from 1 species
GCUGGGCAUUGUGGCGGGCACCUGUAGUCCCAGAAACUGGGGAAGCUGAGGCAAGACAAUUGCCUAAGCCCAGGAGUUGGAGGUUGCUGUGAGCUGUGAUGCAACAGCACUCUACUAAGGGCAACAAAGUAAGACUUUGACUCUAAGAAAAAAAAAAAGAAAACUUAAAAUGAAUUAUUUUAAGUGGUUUUUUUUUUAUUUGUUUGUUUUUAGAGACAGAGUCUUAGUUUGUUGCCCUCAAUAGAGUGCUAUGGUGUCACAGCUCACAGCAACCUCCAGCUCCUGGGCUUAGGCAAUUCUCUUGCCUCAG